AACGUAGGAGGCGAGCGUUAUCCGGAUUUACUGGGCGUAAAGGGCAAGUAGGCGGUGGCCAAAGUUGGGCGUGACAUUUUCCGGCUCAACUGGAAGGGGUCGUUCAAAACUAGGCCACUAGAGGGCAGGAGAGGGAAGCGGAAUUCCUAGUGUAGCGGUGGAAUGCUCAGAUAUUAGGAAGAACACCAGUGGCGAAGGCGGCUUCCUGGCCUGUACCUGACGCUGAGAGGCGAAAGCUAGGGGAGCGAACGGG
rnacentral:rRNA from 1 species